GCGGCGAGAGGGCCCAGCAGUCUGGUGUCAGGCUAGUGUUGCUCCGUGGCCCUGAGACCUUUCAGAUCCCAGGCAAAAAGGCUGAAGGGAAUGAUCUGCAGCUUUAAAAAGAGAAAAGGGGAGAAAAGAUGGAUUUUCUAAAUCAUGUUCUGUGAGGAAUUCCAAUCUCUUGGAAGAACAGGAGAGAUACCCUUUUCAUCAAGUGGCCUGAUGAGGGAAGGUCACCUGGUGUGGAACAGAAGAACUGUGGGGGCCUGUGGAGGUUCGCAGUGUGCUUCAGGAGGGCUGCGUGCUGCAGCCUUUCCCUCUGCUUCCAUAUGACUCUUCCAGGAGAGAUGGGUCAGUGAUGAGCACAGCUUUGCCCAGUCCUAAGAGGGGUACUUUUCAGAGCUAAUGGUAGCCCUACUUUGACUUUCCCCUUUCCCUUUCUAAGGUAGCUGCUGACAUCUAGAAUUCUCAAAGUACAGAGGAGGAGUUCCUGGCCUCCACUUCCAUUCAGAAACCAUCCUGUGCAAAGGCCACUUCUUAUCUAGGAAAUGCCAAUCUGCUGAAAGCAGGGAAAACUUGGUUUCAUAGCAUGGUGAAGCAAAUCACCUCAGUUUUCCACGAGUAUCCAGUAUUCUCCAUAAACAGGUUUGAAAAGAGCUCCACGGGAUUUGUAGUUUCUCAUUUGCCUGCUUUAUGGCAGGGACUGGAUUUUAUCCAUCUGAGUGUUCCCCAGCACUAAAGCAGGGUCCCGAGUGUACUUGUUGCUCAGUAGUGGUUUUCUGAAUAGGCUUAACUGAGCAGGAGGUAGGAGGACUGGCUCGCUCCUCACAAGCGCCAUGACUUUUGUUCUAAUAAAGUCUCUUCCAAUUAAACGAG